GAAAUAACUUCACAGCUCGCAGAUAAAUUAUAUGCCUACCUGUACUCAAGUCAAGGACGGGAAGACAUUUUGAAUCCUCCUGGUGAAACUUAAAUUGCAGAAGUCUCGAACAGAUCACUUGGGCGAGUCGUGCCAUCACGACUUCAAAGUGUAAUAAAGCGAUGGUGCGAUGGUCAAGAAGUAAAAUAAAUUAUUGAAGAUGCAGACGUAAAAAUUAGACUGAGAGUCAAGGAUAUAGAGUCGAAACUGCUGGAAAUUGAGAUUGAGAUGACAGGAAUAGACCCAAGAGUCGAAGGCAGUCGC
rnacentral:lncRNA from 1 species